CCAGGUAUACAAGGCGGAAAUGGGAAACCGAUCAGUGUUGGUAGGAGAAAAAGCUUGGGAAGCAUCUGUUUGGUUAGAAUAGCCAGUGAAUCUGAUGGAUCUAAUCAUUAAUUGCUUAGGAUAGUAGAAAAAAUAGCCGGGGAAAACUCAUUUCUGUGGGAUUAUUGUAAAUAGCUAAGAUUUGAUUCCAUCUGUAACAUGUAAACAGGCGGCAUUUUUUCAGCCUGUUGGUCAAUUUAGCGCCAUCAUCAGUCUUUGGGUUCAAUGCAACAAUUAAUUAAGCUAGAGGGUCAA
rnacentral:misc_RNA from 1 species